AACUAAAGUCAGGAUCAUGUCAUGGAACCCAGGAGAAAAGCCCCCAGCCGGUACUUAGUGCUGUGAACUCCAGGUCCACUGUACGAACGGCUCUAUCUCAAUAUUUCCUGGGAAAGAACCGAGAUUCAUAGAUUGGUUUCAGGAGUAUAUUCUAAUGCACCUCCAACUAUACCAGAUUCCACAGCUAGAUGUUGGCUCCAUGGAUGCAGAAAGCACAAAAUGAGGACCCAGAAUAAACUCAAAACAACUGGGAGAAAAGGAAGACCUUCAGCAAACAUUCACUAGAAACUCAGGUCCAGAGGCUGUAGACAAACUCCUCAACUGGUGUAAUUCAACACAGCUAGAGUGAAGUCAACAGAGGGACACUGGUUUACAGCAGCUGAGGUUCUGGGCAUACAAGUGGAAUUUGUAUAAAUAAGAUGUGGUUCUUGAUCAUUAUUGUCUGUAACAAAAGAUAUAAAUGCUUGCUCUCACUGUUUAUCUAAGGGAGACCUGCCUGGGAUGGGAGAACCCCUG